rnacentral:lncRNA from 1 species
GCUAAACAAGGCUCAACGGGGCUAAAACCUACAAAAACAGAUGUAUGGAAUGAAGGCUUUUUGGCUAUGGUGGUAACUACUAAACAACUUCAUCUUGAAUACCUGUUAUGCAAUUCAAUGAAAUGUUUUGAAUGAAAUUGGCAUGAGUUCUAGCAUUUGGAACUAAAGUGAUGAAACGCCUUCUAAGUAAUAACCAAGCAAAGAAUAGUGAGAUCAUGCAACGACUUUAGAAAACAAGAAUGCACAGAUUUUAACUCUCCAAAUAAUGUUUAGGCUCAAGUCUCACAAGGUUGUAGCGUUAGUUUGAGUUCCUUCCUUCAAACAUGUUACAAAAACUAAUUUUUUGCUUUAUGAUUACAUGUGAAUUCAUAAGUUAUAACCACAACCAAGCAUAAACCAAGAGUAAAUCAAACUUUCAUCCAUGUUUAUAACUCUCUUUAACAGUCAUGCAAUUAAAAACCGAAUCCUCAUCAUUGUGUUGGAAGGUACCCUAAGACACAAACAAACACACAAAAACAACUUAAAAACGACUCUUUUUGGGUUUUGUAAAACAAUUUUUCAAAUUUUUAUGGGAUUUUCGGAUUUUUGAAUCAAAACACAUUAAAACACACCAAAACAGCCUAAAAACACCUAAAAACAGCAAGAAACAACAUUGGAAAUUAUGAGUGAGAAAACCCUACGAAUUUGCAUCAAAACACUUUGGUUACCCCCCCACACUUAAACCAAACAUUGUCCUCAAUGUUUCAAAGCAUAAACUAACACAAAAACACAUAAACAAACAAACAAACACUAACAACCGAACAUGGCAGAAACGAAAUAAACAACAAAGAGAAGGGUUUAGGAACGCAAAUCUGGAAUUGGAGUGCUCUCUAGGUCUUCCUUUGUCGAAUGCAUGGGUUGCCUCCCAAGAAGCGCUUGCUUUAACGUCUUCCAGCCGGACGGUACCUCCGUUUAAGCUUGACUAGGUGCCACGGCAUGGAGGGGUACCUCCUCCACGACAUGCUCCUCAAACAUCUCGUAAUAGGGCUUCAAUCGAUGCCCAUUCACUUUGAAUUCUUGUUGCGUCCUUGCACUCUUGAUUUGCACUGCACCAUGAGGGAAAACAUUAGUGACAAUAAAAGGACCAACCCAUUUGGAACGCAACUUACCCGGAAACAACCGAAGGCGAGAAUUGAACAACAACACUUUCUGCCCAAUAGAGAACGUCUUGGCACGAAUCAUCUUGUCAUGGAAUGCCUUCGUUUUCUCCUUGUAAAUCCGGGCAUUCUCAUAUGCUUCAUUUCGGAUUUCCUCAAGCUCACACAAUUGGAGCUUCCUAUGUAAACCUGCGGCAUCAAGGUCCAUGUUAAACGUUUUGACGGCCCAAUGUGCACGAUGCUCUAACUCGACGGGAAGAUGGCAUGGCUUCCCAUAGAUGAGCCGAAAAGGUGACAUCCCAAUGGGGGUUUUGUAGGCAGUGCGAUACGCCCACAAUGCAAUCCUUUAAGCGCAAACUCCAAUCCUUCCUCGUAGGCCCACGGUCUUCUCAAGAAUCUUGCUUGAUUUCCCUAUUCGAAACCUCGGCUUGCCCGCUCGUUUGAGGAUGAUAAGGUGUGGCCACCUUAUGCGUGACAUUGUAUUUCUUGAGCAACGCCUCGAUGGUUUCGAUUACAAAAAAUGGGAACCUCCAUCACUGAUGAGCACGCGUGGCAUUCCAAACCUUGCAAAAAUGUUAGUUUUCACAAAAUCUGCAAACCACUCGAGAAUCAUUAGUUCGGGUGGCUUUUGCUUCCACCCACUUUCGACACAUAAUCCACAGCAAGCAAUAUAUAAAGAAAUCCAUGUGACGAAGGAAAGGGACCCAUAAAAUCAAUACCCCAAACAUCAAAUAAUUUCAACACUAAAAAUGGGGUUUGCGGCAUUUGUUGUUUAGGACCAAUAUUGCCCGUUCUUUGGCAUCUAUCACAAGACAUGCAAAAUGUUCUAGCAUCCCUAAAGAUGGUAGGCCAAUAGAAACCACAUUCUAAUACCUUAAGUGCUGUUCUAUUGAGUGCCAAAGUGUCCCCCACAAGCAUAAAGUGUGACAAAAUGUUAGAAUAGCAUUAAACUCAGAAUCGUGCACACACCUACGUAUAACUUGGUCAGGGCAAUAUUUCCAUAAAUACGGGUCAUCCCACACAUAAAACCGUGCCUCUUUCUUCAAUUUAUCACCUUGGUGUUUAAGUAAUUCACUAGGAACAUGUUUAGACACCAAAUAAUUCACCAAAUCAGCAUACCACGGUUCACUUACUACCUUGACGGACAUCAGUUGCUCAUCUGGGAAUGUCUCUAUGAUAGGUACGGCAUCCUCCUCAUGUACCAUACGGCUCAAGUGGUCAGCCACCACGUUUUCACUUCCCUUCUUGUCCCGGAUUUCGAUAUCGAACUCUUGGAGAAGAAGCAUCCAACGAAUGAAGUCGUGGUUUGGCCUCCUUCUUGGUGAACAAAUACUUCAAUGCUGCAUGGUCAGUAUAAAUAAUAACUUUAGUACCAAGCAAAUAAGAACGGAAUUUAUCUAAAGCAAAUACAACAGCAGAAGUUCUUUUUCAGUGGUGGAAUAAUUCAAUUGUGCAUCAUUUAAAGUCCGAGAGGCAUAAUAGAUAACAUGCGGCCUCUUUUCCUUCCUUUGCCCCAAAACAGCUCCUAAUGCAUAAUCGGAAGUGAUGCGAAAUAUAUUAAGCACACAAAUUAAACCCUCUUUUGACAAUUGUAGCAAAGUAUGUAAGUAGGGAUCGUUCUAACCGGGGAUUAGGAGGGAUUGCUAAACACUUGAAAACUGAUUUAAAAACUUAAAAACAAAGUUUAAAACACUAAACUUAGACUCAAAGAAUGCAAAACUAAAGUUUAAAACACUAAAACAAAACAAAAACUCAAAAACAGCAACCUAGAAGACUCAAAACUGCCUUAAAAACCACUUUCUGGGCAGUUUUGAGCACCUACACAAUUUGGACGAAUUGGGUGAAACUUUGACUCAAAAUACUUAAAACACAACCAAAACACUUUCUAACUAAUUAAGACUUCAAAGUAAAUGAGGAUUUGAUUUGGACGAAAUAAAUUUGAUAAAACAGAUUGCAAAGUAAAACAGAUUUGAAAACGUUUUGGGGUUUUAAAUGGAUGAUGGACUAGUUAGGGCUCUUUCUCCACACAUGACAAGUAUGCAAACGACUCAAAUUUCCAGUUAUUCCUUCGUUGAAUUAUGAAUGACAAUGCCCCAAAUUAAACCGUGACAUCACUAGUUAAUUCUCAAGUUUUCCUUGUGUUAUUGGAUUGGGAUGACAUCAUUCGACAACCCAAAGCAUUCCUCAAAAGUUCCCUACAUGACAUCAUAAUAAAGAUACAAUCAAAGAUCAUUACGUUCAAUGAAACUAUAAGCAUUGACAAAGCACUUGCAACUAUGACAUCAUGUCACUCAUGCUAGGAAUUGAACUUAACGCGAUCGUGACUAGCGACCUUCACUACAUAUGAAUAUAAGUGUGUGACGAUUAUGUGAAACAACCUUAUAUUCUAGCAACAUAUUCAUGCAAGCCAAUUAAGUGUCGACCCCUAAUUAACAAACACAAUAAGUUAUUACUCGCACAGUAAGCCAAUUGCAUUUCACGAUUCAAGAACUCAUAACUGGAAUUUAUCAAAUCAAAUUGCAUACAUAGUCAUGGCUUCGAAUCACCCCUAACCAAUAGGGGUUUAGCCACUCAUGUUCGUAGCAAAACGAAAGGAAAAGAAAUUAAACAUUGAAAUCAUAAAACGAAUUACACCUAGAAUGCACCAACGAUGAAGCUUAAGCAUCCAAGAGUCCUUCCUUCUUUCUCCUUGCUGCUGCACACGAAUGGGUGAGUUUUGGGGUUAUGAAUGGUGUAGAUGAUGGUUUUAUGGCUGGGAUAGGUGUAUGGGACGGCUAGGGGGUUUUUUGGUCAGAAAAUAUGGUGAAUGGUGAAGGAUAGGUGCGGCAGAGAGAGUGAGUGAUGUUUUCUGGCGUGAAUGGGACUGAAUGGGUUGUGUGGAAUGUUUUGUGGCUGCAACAAGAGGUUUAUUUAAAGGGAAACAGAAAUUCAAAAACCCUAGGCUAAUUAGGUAAUCAGAAAUUAAGUCUAAGGAUUCUUAAGAAUUAGGAAAUAAAUCAGAAAAUUAAAGGAAAGGGCAAGGGAAAUUCGGCUAGGGUUUAAAACACAAAAGGAAGUGUUUUAAAGCAUAAAAACAGGAAAUAAGGAAGAGGAAAUGCAAAGGGGGGUGCGGCAAGGGUUCAAAAGGGUUCUAGGCUUUUGUUUUGUGUCCUAGAAUGCUUAGAAAGUCUUCAUAAUUGCUGGAACUUUUAGGGACAAUUAGGAAAAAUCAAACCAAAGUAGGAAACCUUGGCUUAACUUUCCUACUUCAAGUAGGAAUCCUUGUUGGAGGAGAAUCCUUGUUCUUCUAGGAAUCCUCAUGUGAUUAGGAAUCGUCUUCAUAGGAAUCCUCUUGUUAGGUCCUUCGUCGAAUUAGGAAUCCUCGUUUAUGUAAGCACUUUCCUACUUCAACUAGAAACCUUGUUCAAGUAGGAAUCAUCAUCUUCAAGUCUUCAAAUUCGUCCAAACCUUGCUCCAAUUAUGUGAUAUCAUUCCAAGCCCAAUUUUGCUCCAAAAAGCUCAAAAUGCAUCUUUUGCAUCUUUUUGGCCUUAAAACCUGAAACACAUAAGCUAGCUAAAAGACUACUUUAAUAAGAAACACUAUGGAGAUGAUAAGAACUAGCUAACUAAGGAACAUAAAAUGCUCCUAUCACAAUAGAGGAAAGAUGAGGGAGGUGGCGGCUCAUGUUUUAGAAAAACAGUCUAAAACUAAAGGAAAUAGGUCUACUGUGCGCAAGGUUUGGGAAAGGUCUUGUACCUAAAACUGGGUGGGAAAGGGACCUUCACGGCAAGGAAGGGGGAUUAAAGAAAGGUGAACAAAGGUCCUAGAGUGGUUUUAGGGCCUUUGUUUGGUGUCCCAAAGUGCUUAAAGGUAUUCAAAGUGGCUGGAAAUAGGAAUUAGGAAAGGCAAGGUAACCAAAAUAGGAAAACAUGGCUUAAGUUCCUACUUCAAGUAGGAACCUUUUCUUCGAACCUCAAUUCAUCCAACCUCGUCCUUCGCAUGUCCUUUUCAUUCCAAGCUCACUUUUUGCUCCAAAAGCUCCAAUUUGUUUUUUUUCAACUUUAACCUAAAACACAAAAAUACAGCCCUAAAGAAAACAAUAAAUGCAGGAACAAGCCUUAAGUAGCAUAAAUUGCUCCUUCAAUUCCCCCACACUUAGCUUUUGCUAGUCCUCGAGCAAAACAAACAAAAGAAAGAAAACAAAACGAAACAAACUAACCAAAACAAACCUAAACCUUCCAACGUUUGCCUCAGGGAUUUCCAAUGCACAUGACAUGUUAAAGAUUGUUAUCCCCACAGAUUUGAGUCAUCUUUACACAAAGCACAUACUUAAUUAAAGCCACCACUUACUAGUUCACAAGUAAUCAAUUAAAACAAUGCUUUGAAUGUAGUAACAUGCCUUAGAGAAUUCCCUCAAUUCCUUACAAGAUAUACACUCUAUUUUCACUCAGAUUUUCUAACUCCACACCCUACACUAGUCAUAUGUGAGAAGAUUGAUGUAGAUAUGAAAACGAAUGCUCACAUAUAUGUAUUCACAAAGAACGCAAUUUCUAGAGUUAAGAAGCAUGUUUAGAUAUGAUCUCAUGAAUGGAAUGCUACUACUUAGAUGCGAGAACCAGUGACACCAUAUGCUCAUACCAAAUUCAAACUCCACAAAUUGAAACACAUAACACUCAAGAUAGAAGUUAAGGGUUGUAACGGGGCUUGGGGUGUUGGUUAACAAGGAAAGGAUAGGGAAAACAAACGUUCUUCAAGCAAUAGUAAGCAAAGCAAUGAAAUUGAGACUUAGAAUUCACUUAGAUUGCAGAAAUUAACUUUAAAACACAAGGGGAAGACUUAAACAACUCCUUAGGGCCGAAUUCAUUGUUUUGGACCCUUACUUCAACAAACAAUACUUUGGAACUCUUUUUCUCAACUUUUCAACUUUUUUUUCAUACUUUUCACACUUUUUUUUUUUUUUCUUUUCUUUUCUUUGCCGUGCCUAUGGCACACAAUUCCAUGAAAAACACUUCCCCCACACUUGUUUUCUGCCAACAUAAAAUCAAAAGGAAUUCAAUUUGAAUCAUGCUUUACUAUGCUUUAAGAACAAGGGUAUGGAUGGUCCUAAACUAGGCUAGGUGAGGAUAAUGUGGUUAACAAAGAAUGAAGGCUAAACAAGGCUCAACGGGGUUAAAACCUAAACAUAAACAUAGAUAUGGGAUUCACGGCUUUUGGCUAAGGUGGUGGUCACUACACAACUUCAUCUUGAAUAUGUGUUAUGCAAAUCAAUAACAUGCUUUGAAUGAAAUGGGCAUGAGUUCUAGCAUUUGGAACUAAAUGAUGAAACGCCUUCUAAGUAGCAACCAAGCAAGGAAUAAUGAGAUCAUGCAACGACUUAGAAAACAAAGAAUGCACAGAUUUUAACUCUCCAAAUAAACGUUUAGGCUCAAGUCUCACAAGGUUGUAGCGUUAGUUUGAGUUCCUUCCUUCA